rnacentral:rRNA from 1 species
GAAUAUUUAUAUAACAUUAACAUAAUUCAUAUUACUAUAUAUUUUAGUAUAUGAAAUUUUACUUUGAGAAAAUUAGAGUGCUUAAAGCAGGCAUAUGCCUUGAAUACUCCAGCAUGGAAUAAUAUUAAAGAUUUUUAUCUUUCUUAUUGGUUUUAAGAUAAGAAUAAUGAUUAAUAGGGACAGUUGGGGGCAUUUGUAUUUAACAGUCAGAGGUGAAAUUCUUAGAUUUGUUAAAGACAAACUAAUGCGAAAGCAUUUGCCAAGGAUG